rnacentral:rRNA from 1 species
CUUGGUCAUUUAGAGGAAGUAAAAGUCGUAACAAGGUCUCCGUUGGUGAACCAGCGGAGGGAUCAUUACCGAGUUUACAACUCCCAAACCCCUGUGAACAUACCACUUGUUGCCUCGGCGGAUCAGCCCGCUCCCGGUAAAACGGGACGGCCCGCCAGAGGACCCCUAAACUCUGUUUCUAUAUGUAACUUCUGAGUAAAACCAUAAAUAAAUCAAAACUUUCAACAACGGAUCUCUUGGUUCUGGCAUCGAUGAAGAACGCAGCAGAAUGCGAUAAGUAAUGUGAAUUGCAGAAUUCAGUGAAUCAUCGAAUCUUUGAACGCACAUUGCGCCCGCCAGUAUUCUGGCGGGCAUGCCUGUUCGAGCGUCAUUUCAACCCUCAAGCACAGCUUGGUGUUGGGACUCGCGUUAAUUCGCGUUCCUCAAAUUGAUUGGCGGUCACGUCGAGCUUCCAUAGCGUAGUAGUAAAACCCUCGUUACUGGUAAUCGUCGCGGCCACGCCGUUAAACCCCAACUUCUGAAUGUUGACCUCGGAUCAGGUAGGAAUACCCGCUGAACUUAAGCAUAUCAAUAAGCGGAGGA